CACAAAUCCAGCCAGUACAGGCACCAUGACUAGAAUUCUACCCCCAAAUGCCAUGUGAUCACCUGCUGGUGAGCACGGCAGGCAAAUCUAGGCCGUUUCUGCUUUGGUAGCGACUGCCUGUAGAGAGACGUCAAUGUUCUCACUGUUAUUUCUGGAAUGAGAGUUUAAAGGGUUGCUGGGCUGUACCCACGGAAGCAUCAGGAGGAAGUUUUACCCUGAGAGGCUGCCUGAUGUAAGGAAAGAACCAUAGGGUCAGACUUCAUCUGGGCAGAAUAGUGCCCCAAGCAAGGUGGUCCAAUCGAGUUUUCCUCCUUAGGUCAUGGACACGGUGCGUAUUGCGGUCGUCGGAGCUGGCGUGAUAGGGCUGUCUACUGCCGCCUGCGUCUCCCAGCUGGUCCCCCGAUGUUCCGUUACUGUCAUCUCAGACAGGUUCACACCUGACACCACCAGUAAUGUAGCAGCUGGGAUGCUCAUUCCUCCCACGUAUCCAGAUACGCCCGUGCCCACGCUGAAGCGAUGGUUUAGAGAGACCUUCCAGCAUCUUUCUGAAAUCGCCAGGUCUGCAGAGGCUGUGGAUGCCGGCAUUCACCUGGUGUCUGGGUAAGGAGAGGAAUCUGAAG
rnacentral:lncRNA from 1 species